AGUGAACGCUGGCGGUAGGCCUAACACAUGCAAGUCGAACGGCAGCACAGUAAGAGCUUGUUCUUACGGGUGGCGAGUGGCGGACGGGUGAGGAAUACAUCGGAAUCUACUUUUUCGUGGGGAUAACGUAGGGAAACUUACGCUAAUACCGCAUACGACCUACGGGUGAAAGCAGGGGAUCUUCGGACCUUGCGCGAUUGAAUGAGCCGAUGUCGGAUUAGCUAGUUGGCGGGGUAAAGGCCCACCAAGGCGACGAUCCGUAGCUGGUCUGAGAGGAUGAUCAGCCACACUGGAACUGAGACACGGUCCAGACUCCUACGGGAGGCAGCAGUGGGGAAUAUUGGACAAUGGGCGCAAGCCUGAUCCAGCCAUACCGCGUGGGUGAAGAAGGCCUUCGGGUUGUAAAGCCCUUUUGUUGGGAAAGAAAAGCAGCAGGUUAAUACCCCGCUGUUCUGACGGUACCCAAAGAAUAAGCACCGGCUAACUUCGUG
rnacentral:rRNA from 1 species